rnacentral:ncRNA from 1 species
AGCCCAAGACAAAGUCUUGGUCCUGAACCUACCCCUAUUUCUUCCCCAAACUAUACAUGCAAGUCUCAACAAAACAGUGAGUAACCCACCAAAUCAACAAAGAACAAAUGGAGUAAACAUUAGAUCAGGGGCUUUUCCCCAUCAAAAAAGAAGGCACCGCCCACGCCUACACAGGAAUUCAGCAGUAAUUAACAUUAGGCCAUAAGCGAAAGCUUGACCUAGCCACAGGAAAGGAAAGCCGGUAAAACUCGUGCCAGCUACCGCGGUUAUACGAGAGGCUUAAAAUAGAACAUUUCGGCGAAAACAUGGCCAGAGCGCAUCAAAUAGGCCUAAGGGAAAAAAGGAAAAACAAGCCGUCCAACGCCAAGAGCAAACGAACCCCCCUCCCCUUACCCCAAUGACCCCUUAAACCAUAAAAGCCGGGGAACAAACUAGGAUUAGAGACCCUACUAUGCCCGGCCGUGAAAGGCCCCGCCCGCCCGAUAAAUACGAGCGAAAGCUUAAAACUCAAAGGACUUGACGGUGCCCCAUAUCACCCUAGAGGAGCCUGUCCUGUAAUCGACACCCCACGUUAAAACCUCACCACCCCUAGCCAAACAGCCUAUAUACCGCCGUCGUCAGCUCACCCUGCAAAAGAAUAAAAGUGGGCAAAAUAGUUCACUACACUAAAACGACAGGUCAAAGCGUAGCACACGGGGCGGGCUGAGAUGGGCUACAUUUUCUAAAAUAGACCACACCAAAAAGCGCAUGAAAAACGCCGAACAGGCGGAUUUAGCAGUAAGACGGAGUAGAAAGCCCGCCUGAACACAGCACUGGGACACGCACACACCGCCCGUCACCCCCCUCCACUCGCAACUAAUGUUUCAUAAAGCCAAUGCAUUACUAAGAUGGGGAAAGUCGUAACAAGGUGAGCGUACUGGAAAGUGCGCUCGUGCAC